rnacentral:rRNA from 1 species
UACGUAGGGGGCAAGCGUUGCCCGGAUUUACUGGGCGUAAAGCGCGCGCAGGCGGCACACUAAGUACGAUGUGAAAUCUCCCUGCUCAACGGGGAGGGUGCAUAGUAAACUGGUGAGCUAGAGGACGGUAGAGGGGGGUGGAAUUGCUGGUGUAGCGGUGAAAUGCGUAGAGAUCAGCAGGAACACCCGUGGCGAAGGCGGCCCCCUGGGCCGAACCUGACGCUGAGGCGCGAAGGCUAGGGGAGCGAACGGG